rnacentral:rRNA from 1 species
AAUCAACGCUGGCGGCGUGCCUAACACAUGCAAGUCGAGCGCGAAAGUGGGCUUCGGCCCGCGAGUAGAGCGGCGAACGGGUGAGUAACGCGUGGGUGAUCUACCUUCGAGUGGGGAAUAACACCGGGAAACUGGUGCUAAUACCGCAUGACAUCCUCGGUUCGUUCCGAGGAUCAAAGCCGGGGACCGCAAGGCCUGGCGCUUGAAGAGGAGCCCGCGUCCGAUUAGCUUGUUGGCGGGGUAAUGGCCCACCAAGGCUUCGAUCGGUAGCCGGCCUGAGAGGGCGGACGGCCACACUGGGACUGAGACACGGCCCAGACUCCUACGGGAGGCAGCAGUGGGGAAUAUUGGACAAUGGGGGCAAACCCUGAUCCAGCAAUGCCGCGUGUGUGAAGAAGGCCUGCGGGUUGUAAAGCACUUUCAGUGGUGAGGAAAGCUCACGCGUUAAUAGCGCGGGAGGGUGACGUUAGCCACAGAAGCAGCACCGGCUAACUCCGUG